AGUCGACGAUGAAUCUUCUAGCUUGCUAGAAGUGGAUUAGUGGCGCACGGGUGAGUAAUGCAUAGGUUAUGUGCCCUUUAGUCUGGGAUAGCCACUGGAAACGGUGAUUAAUACUGGAUACUCCCUACGGGGGAAAGUUUUUCGCUAAAGGAUCCGCCUAUGUCCUAUCAGCUUGUUGGUGAGGUAAUGGCUCACCAAGGCUAUGACGGGUAUCCGGCCUGAGAGGGUGAUCGGACACACUGGAACUGAGACACGGUCCAGACUCCUACGGGAGGCAGCAGUAGGGAAUAUUGCUCAAUGGGGGAAACCCUGAAGCAGCAACGCCGCGUGGAGGAUGAAGGUUUUAGGAUUGUAAACUCCUUUUGUUAGAGAAGAUUAUGACGGUAUCUAACGAAUAAGCACCGGCUAACUCCGUGCCAGCAGCCGCGGUAAUACGGAGGGUGCAAGCGUUACUCGGAAUCACUGGGCGUAAAGAGUGCGUAGGCGGGGUAAUAAGUCAGAUGUGAAAUCCUGUAGCUUAACUACAGAACUGCAUUUGAAACUGUUACUCUGGAGUGUGGGAGAGGUAGGUGGAAUUCUUGGUGUAGGGGUAAAAUCCGUAGAGAUCAAGAGGAAUACUCAUUGCGAAGGCGACCUGCUGGAACAUUACUGACGCUGAUGCACGAAAGCGUGGGGAGCAAACAGGAUUAGAUACCCUGGUAGUCCACGCCCUAAACGAUGGAUGCUAGUUGUUGCCUUGCUUGUCAGGGCAGUAAUGCAGCUAACGCAUUAAGCAUCCCGCCUGGGGAGUACGGUCGCAAGAUUAAAACUCAAAGGAAUAGACGGGGACCCGCACAAGCGGUGGAGCAUGUGGUUUAAUUC
rnacentral:rRNA from 1 species